GUCAGUGUGGCCGAGUGGUUAAGGCGACAGACUUGAAAUCUGUUGGGCACUGCCCGCGCAGGUUCAAACCCUGCCGCUGACG